rnacentral:misc_RNA from 1 species
GGAAGGAUCAUUAGCAGUGCGCGGAUACGUGGCACCAACGAACCAAAACACGAGCAAACACGAGACCGCCGGCAACGGAUCUCUUGGCUCCGGCGCCGAGGAAGAACGCAGCAAGAGGCGAUACGUGACGCGAAUCGCAAGGCCUGUGAGUCGUCAGUGUUCGAACGCAGCGCACCGCGAGGUGUGUCCGUCUGAGCGUGGUUUCAGGUGUUGGCCGGGGCGGCCUGGCCCGAAUGCGCCGGACCGCGAGCCAGGUGGCGCGGCGAGGCAGGGUGGUGGUGUCAUGCACACCGCACGCAACGCACCGCCUCAGACGGACAGGAGGACCCGCUGAACUUAAGCAUAUCAGUAGGCGGAGGAGAAGAAACUAACCAGGAUUCCCGCAGUAACGGCGAGUGAAGAGGGAGGAGCCCGACACGAACCGCGGCGCGGGAUGUGUGGCGCGGCGAGCACCGCCGCCCGGAGCCAGGUCCCCUGGAACGGGGCGCCGCAGAGGGUGACAGCCCCGUGGGCGCAGGGCGGCGGCGCGGCCGCGCGAGCGAGUCGGAUUGCUUGGGAGUGCAGUCCCAACGGGUGGUACGCGCCAUCCAAGGCUAAAUACGGCCGGAGACCGAUAGCGAACCAAGUACCGUGAGGGAAGGAUGAAAAGGACUUUGGAAAGAGAGUCAAAAGUGCGUGAAAUUGCCGGCGUGGAAGCGUGUCCGGGUGCGUGCGCGCGGACACGGCCCGUCUUGAAACACGGACCAAGGAGUCUAGCGGGCGUGCGAGUGCGAGCAUGGACGUGCUUGUGCGGAGCGAGAGCGGCGCAUCGAGCCCACGGGUGCAGAUGGAGGCAGCACGGACGCUAGGACCCGAAAGAUGGUGAACUAUGCCUGGACAGGGCGAAGCCAGGGGAAACGCUGGUGGAGGCUCGCAGCGGUUCUGACGUGCAAAUCGAUCGUCGGAUCUGGGCAUAGGGGCGAAAGACCAAUCGAACCGUCUGGUAGCUGGUUCCCCC